GUUUACGUAUCGCAUCUAUGUACAUGGAUUGGUGGUUGGUUUAACAUUUCGAUUAGCAAAAAGUUUCACACAUAUGAAACAUUUGAUCUACCAUUAUUACAGACAUUGACGUAUACUUAUGUGGUAUGUGCAUAUUUUCUGUAGGCGAGUCAGUCACAGCAACAAAACACUUUCGGAACCCCUUUUUGUUUUUCGACUAUUCUAUGACGGAGUAAGGAAUUCCGGAAAAUGAAUUCACGUGAAAAUACACAAUUUUUACUGAUGACGUGGUUGCUAUCCGUCGCUACCUUAAUGUAGUUAUUAGAUUCUCAGACAUUUCCAACAUGACCAUGGUGUAUUUUGAAUUUUUUUUUUACUGUUAUCAAAUUACAUCUUCGUUUAAGUUCCCAACGACGACAAUUGCUACUGUAAAAAUAUUCAUUCGCUAUCUCCUUCAAAUUGAACCAAUAUAACAGAUCUAUACAUGAAUCACCAAUCUUUGCUUACGACAGAUGUAACGUUGACUGUUCGUAUCCAGGAUAUAUAAGGCCAUUUUGACCUAUAAAACACGUAUCAAGCCCUAGAACUUCAUUCCAUGAGAUGGGUACACUUCGAAUGUGCGAAAUUGGUGGUGAGGAAUUCAAGACCAAUUCUGAAUUUCGUAGGCAUGUAAAAAGGAAACAUCAAUCAGAGAAAUUGUCUUCGUUUGUGACCAGUGCAACACACGCUUUUGCACAUUAUAAAAGAAACAUGAAGUAAAAAAAUUACAUUGUUUUCUGAAUACACGAAGUGCAUACAUAUACCAUGGCAGCCGUUUUAUAUAUCCGUUUAUGUACAUUAUGAAACGAUUAUUUUUACGGUAUUAUGCUUUGUUUUACAGAGAUACUACUAAUCUUUUGCACUGCAUUUUACACAUGUUGAUUUGUUAUUUCAUUGAACCAGAAGUGUUCUUAAUUUUUACUUGUUAUUAAAUAUAUUUCAAUGUUA